rnacentral:rRNA from 1 species
CCUACGGGAGGCAGCAGUGGGGGAUAUUGGACAAUGGGGGAAACCCUGAUCCAGCGACGCCGCGUGAGUGAAGAAGUAUUUCGGUAUGUAAAGCCCUGUCAGCAGGGAAGAAAGACAUGACGGUACCUGACCAAGAAGCCCCGGCGAACUACGUGCCAGCAGCUGUGGUAAUACGUAGGGGGCAAGCGUUAUCCGGAAUUACUGGGUGUAAAGGGGUCGUAGGCGGUGAUGCAAGUCUGGAGGGAAAGGGGGGGGCCCAACCCCCGGACUGCUCUGGAAACUGUGUAACUUGAGUGCAGGAGAGGUAAGCGGAAUGCCUGGUGUAGCGGUGAAAUGCGUAGAUAUUAGGAGGAACACCAGUGGCGAAGGCGGCUUACUGGACUGUAACUGACGUUGAGGCUCGAAAGCGUGGGGAGCAAACAGGAUUAGAUACCCGGGUAGUC